UCGUGAAUGCAACAUGCAGAGAUGCAAUAGAGCUAAUGAUAGUUCUACUAGCUUUGCAUAAAGGGAAGAUAAAGGUGCUAAAGUGGUCUCUUUUCGGUUCUGUCAUCUCUAAUCUACUACUUGUUCUUGGCACUUCUCUUUUCCUUGGAGGACUAGUAAACCUUAGAAACGAACAAAAAUUCGAUAUAAAGCAAGCCCAUGCUAAUUUUGGCCUUCUCUUCUUGGCUUUGGUGUGCCACAUGCUGCCUUUAAUGUUUAAACAUGCCUUUGACAAUGACGCCAGGACUAUCAAUCACAUUCUUCAACUGUCUAGAGCAAGCCGCAUUAUCAUGCUUCUCGCUUACAUCGCCUAUCUCUUCUUCUAAUUGAAGACCCAUCGACAGCUCUUCGAAGCACAAGAGGAAGACGAUGACCGUCAUGAUACCACGCCCGAGGAAGAGUUAGUAAUUGGAUUCUUCAGUGCAUUUGUUUGGCUAGUGGGCAUGACUACUGUCAUUGCUCUUUUAUUUGAAUAUAUCGAAGGUACA